AUGUUCUUCAAGAAAUAUAAGCUUAAUAUACCUUUUGAGCAAGUAUUUUGUAACUACUCCAGAGCCUGGAGCAAGACUUGUUUUAAUCCAUGGAUAUACCUUUAGGCCCAAUUCGCAAGCCUUUUUAGCAACAAGACCUGCCCCAAGCAUAACACUAGGGUUUGAUGUAUUUGUGCAGCUUGUAAUUGCGGCAAUUACGAGACUGCCAUGC
rnacentral:lncRNA from 1 species